UGCAAACAUGUUGCCAGGAGCUCUGGAUUUACUCCUCACAAUUGCAGCUAUUCUAACUGGACUUUGUCGUGGCGAUUCUGUCUCACAAACACCGGCUGCAAUCAAACUGAAUGAGGGGGACGAUGUGCUGUUGUUCUGUAAUUACACUACAAUAAGCAACAAUGCUUACCUGUACUGGUACCGUCAACCUUCCAACGGAUCCGUACAGUUUCUGCUACAGAAAGAGCAAUACAGCGAGAAAACGGGGAGUUUCCUACUGGGCCGGCUUUCCUGGAAUUUUGAUCCUGUGAACCGCACUAUCAAACUGAAUGUGUUGAGUACAGAACUAACAGACUCUGCAGUGUAUGACUGCGCACUGAGUCCCACAGAGAAUGAGAACUGGGCUGACCCUGUACAAAAACUCUAA